rnacentral:lncRNA from 10 species
CUCCUGCCAGUGUGCAAGCUGGUCGGAGGUUCUGCCGGGGAGCCGUUUUUACUUGCUGUCUCAUUAUUUGCAUAGUUUCAUCAAGAAUCUGUCCUUUUUUCCUGGGAUUUAAUUGGACAUCCAAGGCCAUACCUGUGUUUAUAAGGCACUAUGCUACUUUGCAUGAAGAUGAUAAUUUCGAAACUAAACACAGAAGAGCAAGUGUAAAAGAAGUAAUUUCUUUCUUUCUUUUAUUUUCUUUUCUUUUUUUUAUUUUUUGUUUGAGACAGUCUCGCUCUGUCGUCCAAGCUGGAGUGCAGUGGCAGGAUCUCGGCUCACUUCAACCGCCAUCUCCUGAGUUCAAGCAAUUCUCCUGCCUCAGCUUCAUGAGUAACUGGGAUUACAGGCAUCCACCACCAGAGACGGAUAAUUUUUUUUUGUAUACUUUUAUUUAAUUCGGCUUAGGUUAUUUGUUUAUUAGUAGUAGCUUUGCAUCUAUGGGAUUGUUGUAUAAAAUAAAUGGCUUAAAUAUGUAGGAUAUUUAAAAGUCAUUCUUUCUGCAUUUGAGAUUUUGAGGCUUUAAAGAGGGCAUUAUAUGGGUAGAGACACAACCAAAAAAGAGAAUUUUAGGCCAAU